AUUGAACGCUGGCGGCAGGCCUAACACAUGCAAGUCGAACGAGUGGCGGACGGGUGAAUAAUGUCUGGGAAACUGCCUGAUGGAGGGGGAUAACUACUGGAAACGGUAGCUAAUACCGCAUACCAUCGGAUGUGCCCAGAUGGGAUUAGCUAGUAGGUGGGGUAAAGGCUCACCUAGGCGACGAUCCCUAGCUGGUCUGAGAGGAUGACCAGCCAAACUGGAACUGAGGCACCGUCCAGACUCCCACGGGAGGCAGCAGUGGGGAAUAUUGCACAAUGGGCGGAAGCCCGAUGCAGCCAUGCCGGGUGGAUGAAGAAGGCCUUCGGGUUUUAAAGGUCUUUCAGCGGGGAAGCGUUACCCGCAGAAGAAGCACCGGCUAACUCCGUGCCAGCAGCCGCGGUAAUAC
rnacentral:rRNA from 1 species